CCAACCCAGGGAGAGACAAUCAACUCCACUCAACAUUUGCUGGGUCCCUCUUCUGUGGGCCGCGAUAGAAAGUCACCACAGCAGUCUUGUUGCAGAAGUUCCCGUUGGGGCUCCCGUUGUUCCCACUGAACCCAAACAUUGACUGGACCAUAAGAUGAUGCUGGGGACAUGUCAGGAAUAAGGCCAGAAACCCUGCAAGCCCCUCAGGAGCCUAUUCUGCUCAUCUGAACACCUAACUGCCAACUUUCUGAAGCAGCCCAGCUUCCCAGAACUGAAGUCACCAAGCCAAGACGAAGAGAACGCUGGGACCUGGGUAAGUGCUCCUUUCAAAGCUCCUGUACGAAGGGGCCAAGGAGAAAUCAAAAGAUAAUGAGCUCCUUUCUACAAUGAAUAUAGAGUAUUUCAGUAGAAGAUAUUGUUCUCCCUUUAGGAGAAUCCCUUUAAUUUUUCUCUUUUUGGCCAAGCUCCUUUGCAGUUGAUUGUAGAACUUCUUCCCUUCCUCCCAGAUCUUUCUCCCCAGAGUCCACCUCAACGUCAG
ensembl:lncRNA